GGGCCUAUAGUUCAAUGGUAGAAUAUGCCCAUGGCAUGGGCAGGGUGCGAGUUCGAUUCUCGCUAGGUCCA
rnacentral:tRNA from 1 species